AUUACUAUAAGUAGAAAUACACUUUUAAAGCUAUUGAGCUAUUUUGUUUAGAUGGCAUAUGUCACUAUACCGGGCCUGUCUUAAUACCAUACAAGUGUUGGCUUGAGAAAGAAUUCAGGCCUGGUGCAGCAGCGGUAGCACAGAGCCUGAGGCACCAGACCAUACAGGAUGUUAAUCAGCAGAAACACCGGCUGGCUGUCGGCAGGUACUCUGUAGGAGAAAGGCGUCCGAGUGUGGAGCGAGGCACCGAUAUGAGAGAACUGGGCCUGUAUAUCAAGCAGAAGAGGAGGAAGUUAGUGAUGAAGGCUUUUCAAAAACAACCACAGCUUUCCUGGCUUCAGCCGUCCUAUUAAUAGCCCAGCCAACAGCUGACAUUUAAGAGAAUGCCACCGUUCCUCCUGCUCUGAAGUCAGUGUGUGAUGUGCCAACCUGCAGCUCCAGACACAAUAGCUGCUUUAUCCUGGAAAAGGUUCGUCUGCAAACUAACACUGCUGACAUUACUCCCACAACUUGGUGGAUAGGAACACGUUGACAAACACUACUGUGUUGAAAAACACACAUCCAAGCAGAGUGAAAAUUAAUUUUCACUGACCCUACUUUUACGUAGGUCUCCAAAUAAUCCCAAUCAAAGUGUUUUACAAAAUACUUUUAUGCUGUCUUUAAAUUAUCACAACCUAAACAUUUU